UUUCCGUAGGUGAACCUGCGGAAGGAUCAUUACAGAGUUCAUGCCCUCCGGGGCAGACCUCCCACCCUUUGUAUACAUUGCCUUUGUUGCUUUGGCGGGCCGCCGCAAGGCCACCGGCUCCGGCUGGUGCGCGCCCGCCAGAGAACCCCAAACCCUGUUUUACAGUGUCGUCCGAGUACUAUAUAAUAGUUAAAACUUUCAACAACGGAUCUCUUGGUUCUG
rnacentral:misc_RNA from 1 species